rnacentral:rRNA from 1 species
UAUGUGAUCGUCUCUCGCAUAUCAAUAAGCGGAGGAAAAGAAACUAACAAGGAUUCCCCUAGUAACGGCGAGUGAAGCGGGAAGAGCUCAAAUUUGAAAUCUUAAAGGGUUUCUCUUUACGAAUUGUAGUUUAAAGAAGUGUUUUCUGUUGAGGUUUUGGUAAAAGUUCUUUGGAAUAGGACAUCAUAGAGGGUGAGAAUCCCGUAUUUGACCUUUACUUUCAACUUUGUGAUACACUUUCAAAGAGUCGGAUUGUUUGGGAAUGCAGUCCAAAAUGGGUGGUAAAUUUCAUCUAAAGCUAAAUAUUGGCGAGAGACCGAUAGCGAACAAGUACCGUGAGGGAAAGAUGAAAAGAACUUUGAAAAGAGAGUUAAACAGUACGUGAAAUUGUCAAAAGGGAAGCGUUUGACACCAGUGUUGUUUUUCUGAAAAUCAAUUAAAGAACUGUUUAUGCUAAGUUGUUUAGACUUUAUCAGCUAACUGUUUAGUUUUGAGCUUUUCUUUAAUGCACUUUUCAGUUAACAAGUCAACAUCAAUUUCUUUUGCUGUAAAAAAGCUUGAGGAAGGUGGCUUGAGAUUCGUCUUAAGUGUUUAUAGCCUCUUGCCUAUGCAGUCGGAGAGAUUGAGGUCUGCAGCGUAGAUCCUUCGGGGCUGAAUGCAUUUGUGCUAAGUUAUAGCAUUUUAUAGACAACUUGUUGACUAUGAUUUGUCUUGUAGCUUACUCGCUUAUGUUAUUUUACCUACGCUUAGGAUGUUGAAGACUCUACAGAGAUA